rnacentral:lncRNA from 1 species
UUUUUUUUUUGAGGCAGAGUCUCACUCUGUCUCCAGUCUGGGUGCAGUGCCACAAUCUCGGCUCACUGCAGCCUUCGCCUUCUGAGUUUAAGUGAUUCUCCUGUCUCAGCCUCCCGAGUGGCUGGGACUACAGGCAUGCACCACCAUGACCAGCUAAUUUUUGUAUUUUUAGUAGAAACGGGGUUACACCAUGUUGGUCAGGAUGGUCUCGAUCUUUUGACCUCGUGAUCUGCCCACCUCAGCCUCCCAAAGUGCUGGGAUUACAGGUGUGAGCCACCGCGCCCGGCCUGUCCUGAUAACUUUUAAUAAGUAAUACAUUUUUAUGUCAAGGUCUUACAAUGGGUUGUUGCUGCAACACUGUUCUCUCCAGAUCUCCUUGUUCCCAAAAUUCAUUUGCAACCAUAAGUGCUACCUGCAAAUGAGAAAGGCUUGGUUCACUAAAUCCACUUAUGAAUAGAGAACUUGCAUUUUAUUAGUACAAGUGACAUUUAAGGAUCGAGUUUACAGUCAAUGUUUGAGGUGCUAUCAAACCGUAUGCUCUUAACUUUUAAAAAGAGGUCAUUUACAGAUUAUAUUGAAAUGCGAAAGGGGAGCUUUUUCUUCCUACUUCAGUGUUCUAGGCUUAUUCUAGGAGUAUCUAUCUCCCAUUUACGAUUGCCACCACUUCUCACCAACGAAAAGGAGAAAUAGGAGGAUUAAAUAUUAUGCUUCAAGUUCUAACACUUCGCCGGUUGUUCUUUGUCCUGUCUAUCUGUUAGCAUCUAGCAUAUGUCUGUGAAUGCACAUGUGACAUACACCCAUUAGUAUGUAGCUUUACCUAAUUACAGUGUGAGGAUAUUCCAGCAUUAAUUUAUAUCACUAAAAAAAAACAUUUAUCAAGUUCAUUGAACACCUGCUAGCUGCCUUUACAUUGGCAUGAGCCAGGCUUGCCAAGAGGAAUAAGGGGUGAUCUUUUUCUUUAAAAUGUUCAGAGUCUAGCGAAGACAGUCAUGUAUACAGUGUGGUAAGUGCUGUAACAAUAAUAGUGUAAGUGCUAUGGGUCAGGGAGAAGGGAGUAAAGAUAAGUUUCAUGAAGGAAGGAGGUGGCAUUUAUGUUGUAUUGUGAAGAACAAGAGUAAUUUUCCAGGAAAAGAGGAGGGGAAGAAUAUUUGCCGAGAUAAAAUGGAACGUACAAAGCUUCUGUGAGUGCAGGCUUAGAGUGUGAAGCAAUGACAUGGGAGAAGGUGAUGGGAAUUGAUGCUGGGAGUGUGAGUUGAGGACAGGCAGUGACAGGCCAUGUAAAUUUUGCCAGGAAGCUUGAAUUUGAUUCUCUAGGCCAGUGCUGUUUACUCUUGGAGUCUAGGGUUCCCCUGAAGUGCUCUAGGGCCCAAGAAGGUGGAGACCAAGAGAGAUGAAAGCUAAAGUAGCUUUGCUUUUUUCUCUUUUAUAAAGUGAUCUUUGGGCAAGUUUUGUUGGGAGAAAAUAGACUUUACUUCUUUGGGAAAGAAGUUGGAAACCUCUGGCAAUGGGGAGUAUGAGCCUUUUAAGGAGUAGAAUGGCUGAGUUGAGCUCUGUGUAGAGACAUCCUGGCAGCAAGUCAGAGGAUGACUUGUGGAGUUGAUGUGAGCAUCUAUUAGGAGGCUGCUACCAUAGUUCUGAUAAAAGUCAGAACUGAGGUACUAGCGAGGCUGAUAUAAAUGAUUUUGAAAUGAGGGAGAUAAGCUCAAGCAGGACCCCAGGUUUCUAGCUUGGGUGACCUCAUCGAUAAAGAACAGAGGAAGAAGAGCAGGCAUGUCGAGGUGGAAGGAGAGGAAGCAUUUGGUUUUGGACUUGAUGGUGACGGAGUUCAGGACACCCUGCCCCCAAAUAUUUUAAGGUGACGGAAUUUGAGGAAACUAAAGCAGCAGGAAGAUCAGUCUCACCUUCCCCCGACCUUCUCCCCUGAAGUAGGUCAUAAAACCAGGUAAGGAUUUUCUGACCUUCCCCUGAAGCAGAUCAUAAGACCUUCAUUCAAGAGGUGCCCUCCCUAUUCCUGGAGGAAAGGAGCCAGAGACACAAAGAUGCCAAGAAGAAUCUGAACAAAUCGGCCUUGCUAAGCUGCCUCACGAUUAGAUCAUACCCUCUUUGUUGAAUUCUAUUUCUCCAUGACUAUCUAAUUCAUCCAACCUAGCAUAAAACAUACAAGUUUAACUGUUUCUUAGGGUCUUUGUUUCCUCACGAAGGCUCCUGUAUUACAUGUAAAACAAAUAAACGUGUACGCUUUUCUCUUGUUAAUCUGUCUUUUGUUAUAGGGGCCUCAGUCAUGAAGCUAGGAUGGGUGAGAAAUAGA